rnacentral:rRNA from 1 species
CCUACGGGCGACAGCAGUGGGGGAUAUUGCACAAUGGGGGAAACCCUGAUGCAGCGACGCCGCGUGAGUGAAGAAGGAUUUCGGUAUGUAAAGCUCUAUCAGCAGGGAAGAAAAUGACAGUACCUGACCAAGAAGCCCCGGCGAACUACGAGCCAGCAGCCGCGGUAAUACGUAGGGGGCAAGCGUCAUCCGGAGUGACUGGGUGUAAAGGGAGCGUAGACGGUUAUGUAAGUCUGGAGUGAAAGCCCGGGGCCCAACCCCGGGACUGCUUGGGAAACUGUGUAACUGGAGUACAGGAGGGGCAGGCGGAAUUCCUGGUGUAGCGGUGCAAUGCGUAGAUCUCAGGAGGAACCCCGGCGGCGACGGCGGCCUGCUGGACUGAAACUGACGUUGAGGCUCGAAAGCGUGGGUAGCAAACAGGAUUAGAUACCCUAGUAGUC